rnacentral:rRNA from 1 species
GACGUAGGGCGCAAGCGUUGUCCGGAUUUAUUGGGCGUAAAGAGCUCGUAGGCGGCUCGUUGCGUCGGCUGUGAAAACCCGCAGCUCAACUGUGGGCUUGCAGCCGAUACGGGCGGGCUGGAGUUCGGUAGGGGAGACUGGAAUUCCUGGUGUAGCGGUGAAAUGCGCAGAUAUCAGGAAGAACACCCGUGGCGAAGGCGGCUCUCUGGGACGGUACUGACGCUGAGACGCGAAAGCGUGGGGAGCGAACAGG